UACGUAGGGGGCAAGCGUUGUCCGGAAUCAUUGGGCGUAAAGAGCGUGUAGGCGGCCCGGUAAGUCCGCUGUGAAAGUCGGGGGCUCAACCCUCGAAAGCCGGUGGAUACUGUCGGGCUAGAGUGCGGGAGAGGCGAGUGGAAUUCCUGGUGUAGCGGUGAAAUGCGCAGAUAUCAGGAGGAACACCGAUUGCGAAGGCAGCUCGCUGGAACGUAACUGACGCUGAGACGCGAAAGCGUGGGGAGCAAACGGG
rnacentral:rRNA from 1 species